rnacentral:lncRNA from 1 species
UGGGUGACGCGACGGUGUCAAGGUGAGAGCGUCGCCGCGGCGCCUUCUGUUGUAAAUUAAUUCGCAACGCGAUGUAAUUGGAUCUGUCCACUCCGCACCGCCCACACUAGCCCUGCAUUCCACGAAAGGCACAUGUUGAGACGUAUAGCUUACUCGCGGUUAGAUUUCCUUUCGCUGUGAAUCGUGACAAAGAGUAAUUGCGGCGACUAUUGUGUGCAGGCAAAAAAUUAAGAAUGCGUUGUGGCACUCCCAAGCAGCAACCAGUCAACCUAUCUACUCAGCAAUUCGUAAAAUUACCGAAUGUUGUAAAAAUGUUUCGAGAACUGAAUUCCAUUCUGUGAAGAGAGUGUAAAGAGAUUCAGAUGAGAAGAAUAAGGAGUUGGCAGAAUUUUUUUCUAAACAAGACAUUUCUGAGAAUAAUAAUUAACCAUCUGUGUUCUUAGUUCUAAACAGUAUAAAAAAAGUACUGAAAUCGAAUACAGAAAUUAGAAACAAUGUUGAGGGAUUGCCGAAAGAGAUUUGUCUAAUCUAGAAUAACCAGUCAUAACGUAAAGAGUCUUCAUAUCGACCUUUUACUGCAACUUAUAUAUACCUACCUAUACACAGUACACGGAAGUUUCAAAAAUAUUUAAUUUUCUUAAUAUUACAUAUACCUAGAUUUAGUAAGAUUUUAACUUUAUGAAAUCCUCGAUGUUGUAUGCUCUAAUUUCAAAACGAUAAAAUGUAUUAUGUGACAAUGCAAUUUAUGUAAAAUAUGAAACUUCCGUAUAUGGGAGCCCUUUAAUGCUAUUACGAUAUUCUUACACUUUAAUAUUACCCAAUUAAUAGGGCCUGCAUAUUAAUAACAUUUUUAU